rnacentral:rRNA from 1 species
AGCAGUCGCCACGGUAAUACAGAGGGUGCGAGCGUUAAUCGGAUUUACUGGGCGUAAAGCGUGCGUAGGCGGCUUUUUAAGUCGGAUGUGAAAUCCCUGAGCUUAACUUAGGAAUUGCAUUCGAUACUGGGAAGCUAGAGUAUGGGAGAGGAUGGUAGAAUUCCAGGUGUAGCGGUGAAAUGCGUAGAGAUCUGGAGGAAUACCGAUGGCGAAGGCAGCCAUCUGGCCUAAUACUGACGCUGAGGUACGAAAGCAUGGGGAGCAAACAGGAUUAGAUACCCCUGUAGUCCCUGUCUCUUAUCC